CCUACGGGAGGCAGCAGUGAGGAAUAUUGCACAAUGGACGAAAGUCUGAUGCAGCAACGCCGCGUGGAGGAUGAAGGCCCUUGGGUCGUAAACUCCUUUUUUCAGGGAAGAGAAUGGACGGUACCUGAAGAAUAAGUCACGGCUAACUACGUGCCAGCAGCCGCGGUAAUACGUAGGUGGCAAGCGUUAUCCGGAAUUACUGGGCGUAAAGCGCACGCAGGCGGUCUUUUAAGUUUGACGUGAAAGCUCCCGGCUUAACUGGGAGAGGUCGUUGAAUACUGGAAGACUUGAGGCAAUGAGAGGGGUGUAGAAUUCCCGGUGUAGUGGUGGAAUGCGUAGAUACCGGGGGGAAUACCAGUGGCGAAAGCGGCACCCUAGCGUUAGCCUGACGCUCAUGUGCGAAAGCGUGGGGAGCGAACGGGAUUAGAUACCCCGGUAGUCCACGCUGUAAACGAUGAACACUAGGUGUAGGUGAUGUGAAAGUUAUCUGUACCGGAGCCAACGCGUUAAGUGUUCCGCCUGGGGAGUACGGCCGCAAGGCUAAAACUCAAAGGAAUUGACGGGGGCCCGCACAAGCAGCGGAGCGUGUGGUUUAAUUCGAUGCGACGCGAAGAACCUUACCCAGGUUUGA
rnacentral:rRNA from 1 species